AUACUCUGGUUUCUCUUCAACCACGAAGAAAUCCUUUGCCUUUUACUAAAGAUUUCCGUGGAGAGGAACAAUAAAGAGGAUACAAUUUUUUAUAACCCUAAAGAAUAUCUGAAGGU